CUUGGCUCGGUCAUGUGACUGCGCUCCGGCCGCGGCGUGGCGCCGGCUCGGGCGGACCGGGUGCUCCGCACGCCCACCACGUGGAAUCCAAACGACCGCCAGCGUUUAUUCAGCGCUGACUACACCCCAGACGCUGUCAGAAAGAACAAUGGGAACACACAGAAGUAUCUGAAUGCUCAAUUAAUAAAGGAAAACCUCACUGAAGUGGAGUCUGGAGGCUGGAAGGGGGAGCCAUACCACUUCAUGUCAAUUACAGGA